GAUGAACGCUGGCGGCGUGCUUAAUACAUGCAAGUCGAACGAAGCACCUUGGACAGAAUCCUUCGGGAGGAAGACCAUUGUGACUGAGUGGCGGACGGGUGAGUAACGCGUGGGUAACCUGCCUUGUACAGGGGGAUAACAGUUGGAAACGACUGCUAAUACCGCAUAAGCGCACAGUACCGCAUGGUACGGUGUGAAAAACUCCGGUGGUACAAGAUGGACCCGCGUCUGAUUAGCUGGUUGGUGAGGUAACGGCCCACCAAGGCGACGAUCAGUAGCCGACUUGAGAGAGUGAUCGGCCACAUUGGGACUGAGACACGGCCCAAACUCCUACGGGAGGCAGCAGUAGGGAAUAUUGCACAAUGGGGGAAACCCUGAUGCAGCGACGCCGCGUGAAGGAAGAAGUAUUUCGGUAUGUAAACUUCUAUCAGCAAGGAAGAAAAUGACGG
rnacentral:rRNA from 1 species